rnacentral:rRNA from 1 species
UACGUAGGGUGCGAGCGUUAAUCGGAAUUACUGGGCGUAAAGCGUGCGCAGGCGGUUGUGUAAGACAGAUGUGAAAUCCCCGGGCUCAACCUGGGAACUGCAUUUGUGACUGCACAGCUGGAGUGCGGCAGAGGGGGGAUGGAAUUCCGCGUGUAGCAGUGAAAUGCGUAGAUAUGCGGAGGAACACCGGUGGCGAAGGCGGCAUCCUGGACCAAUUCUGACACUGAGGAGCGAAAGCCAGGGGAGCAAACGGG